rnacentral:sRNA from 2 species
AGGUAGGCCUCCACUUCCACUAAACGGCCACCUCUGCAAAUUCUCUCUUUCAAGUAACAUAAUCUAUCACCAAGCAAGCCACUUCACCGGGUGAGCCACUUCUCCACUAUUCGCACAUCUCUUGAUCAAAUCAAUAAAAAUGUCAGCGAUACAGAGUGAUAAAGCUUUCUACAAAGAAGAAAGACUUCUUUAGGUACUUGAUAAAAAUCAAAUCUUGUGACGCAUUAGCACCUUUUAGUGGUUAUUUUACAGUACACCACCAACCAACUCACCAGCUCACAUAGCCACGCGCCCUGACAAAAAACUUCUUUCUCGAGAUUCCACCACAAUUGUAAUCCCCAAGGUACUUCCACUCCGCGCUUCAUGAAGUAUGGCGCAACCAUUGAUCUUUUUCCAUUUUGAUCCUUCUAUCUCUUCGUACGACCCCUUCUUUUGAUUCCUUUUCCUUCUUUCCUUUCUCAGUCAAUUCAUAAUCUGUAUAUAGGAUAGGACUAGGGCUGUGAGUCGGUAGUACGCACUUGACAAAUUUCAAGUAUACAACAAGCUGCAGUAAAACCUUUAGUUAUAAUAACUAGCUAUUUCUCAUUUCACACUUCCUUAUCAUAUAUAUAUUAAUAAUUGUAUCUGCUAGCUUCUUAUAAUUGGCUUCAUACCCCUCAUCCCUGCAGCUCUCCUUCAUCAAAUUUAUUAGCUAUAUUCCAUGCAUAAGGAGCAAUCUCUAGCCUUCUACACCCCCUUCUCAAGGCCUUGGAUGAUGUAUCUUAAUUAAUAUAUUAUAUUAUAAUAGGGAGCUGUUAUAUAAGGAUUUUGUGCUAAUGUUAGUGGGAUAUAUAAAUUACUCUCUCCCACUCAUUCACUCAUCUACCUGACUACCUGAUAUCUAUUGACGAUAUGGAG